ensembl:snoRNA
AAGCCAGCCAACUGGUCUGCUUAUCUGAACGUGUUUGUGCAGAAAUGUACAGAGAGCUGGCAACAGUGAUGCCAUCAUGAGCCUUAAGGACAGUUGAGGUCAUUAAGGUCCCUGAAAAUGGUUACAAUA